rnacentral:rRNA from 1 species
UACGGAGGGUGCAAGCGUUAAUCGGAAUUACUGGGCGUAAAGCGUGCGCAGGCGGUUUGUUAAGUCCGUUGUGAAAUCCCCGAGCUCAACUUGGGAAUUGCAAUGGAUACUGGCAAGCUGGAGUAUGGUAGAGGAAGGUGGAAUUCCCGGUGUAGCAGUGAAAUGCGUAGAGAUCGGGAGGAACACCAGUGGCGAAGGCGGCCUCCUGGACCAAUACUGACGCUCAUGCACGAAAGCGUGGGGAGCAAACAGG